rnacentral:lncRNA from 1 species
GUGCUAGCAAACUAAUUUAUUAGAAUUAGAAACCAAACCCACAUGGUGCUAUACUGAAGCUAUUCAGCUUAAAUACAAGAGAUUUACAUUAAAUCAACUGAGAAACAUCAUUCUCAUACUACAGUAUUAUGCGUACACAUACACAGUAAAUAUGUUGUGCCAUAUUCCUGCUAAACACAGAUUUAACUGAUCGCAUAUUCUAAAACUAGCAAGUUUUUUAGCUAUCUUAUUCUAUAUUAUCAUCCCUCAACAACUAACCAUAUUAGGCAGCAUAUAUCAACAUAACUAUAAGUUGCAGAAAUUUUGACACCAUUAAACACUAUAGGCUCCAAAUUGAAGAAAAUAAACUUUGCAUCAACAGUUUGCAAGUUCUCUGAUGCUCCUGUUGAAACACAGGACUCGAUCAAACUUUAUGGCUUUUUCAAAUGACCUGAAAAUAUAAAGAAGC